UACAGAGGGUGCAAGCGUUAUUCGGAAUUACUGGGCGUAAAGCGUGCGUAGACGGUUGCGUAAGUCAGAUGUGAAAGCCCCGGGCUCAACCUGGGAACUGCAUUUGAGACUGCGUAGCUAGGGUGCGGAAGAGGGAAGCGGAAUUUCCGGUGUAGCGGUGAAAUGCGUAGAUAUCGGAAGGAACACCAGUGGCGAAAGCGGCUUCCUGGUCCAGCACCGACGUUCAGGCACGAAAGCGUGGGGAGCAAACAGG
rnacentral:rRNA from 1 species